AGGGUUUGAUCCUGGCUCAGGAUGAACGCUAGCGGCAGGCCUAACACAUGCAAGUCGAGGGGCAGCAUAAAAAUAGCUUGCUAUUUUGGUGGCGACCGGCGCACGGGUGAGUAACGCGUAUGCAACCUACCCCGUACUGGGGGAUAGCCCGAAGAAAUUCGGAUUAACACCCCAUAGUAUUUUAGAUUGGCAUCAAUUUAGAAUUAAAGGUUACGGUACGGGAUGGGCAUGCGUCCUAUUAGCUAGAUGGUAAGGUAACGGCUUACCAUGGCUACGAUAGGUAGGGGGCCUGAGAGGGUGGUCCCCCACACUGGUACUGAGACACGGACCAGACUCCUACGGGAGGCAGCAGUGAGGAAUAUUGGUCAAUGGGCGCAAGCCUGAACCAGCCAUGCCGCGUGAAGGAUGAAGGUUCUAUGGAUUGUAAACUUCUUUUAUUUGGGAAUAAACCUAUCUACGUGUAGAUAGCUGAAGGUACCAAAUGAAUAAGCACCGGCUAACUCCGUGCCAGCAGCCGCGGUAAUACGGAGGGUGCAAGCGUUAUCCGGAAUCCUUGGGUUUAAAGGGUCC
rnacentral:rRNA from 1 species